GACGAACGCUGGCGGCGUGCUUAACACAUGCAAGUCGAACGAUGAAGCCGGAGCUUGCUCUGGUGAAUUAGUGGCGAACGGGUGAGUAACACGUGAGUAACCUGCCCUUGACUCUGGGAUAACUGCUAGAAAUGGUAGCUAAUACCGGAUACGACCCUCGGCGGCAUCGCCAGGGGGUGGAAAGAAUUUCGGUCAAGGAUGGACUCGCGGCCUAUCAGCUAGUUGGUGAGGUAACGGCUCACCAAGGCGACGACGGGUAGCCGGCCUGAGAGGGUGACCGGCCACACUGGGACUGGGACACGGCCCAGACUCCUACGGGAGGCAGCAGUGGGGAAUAUUGCACAAUGGGCGCAAGCCUGAUGCAGCAACGCCGCGUGAGGGAUGACGGCCUUCGGGUUGUAAACCUCUUUUAGUAGGGGAGAAGCGAAAGUGACCGUACCUGCAGAAAAAGCACCGGCUAACUACGUGCCAGCCGCCGCCGUAA
rnacentral:rRNA from 1 species